rnacentral:sRNA from 1 species
AAAGAAGAAGGAAAAAAAAA